UUUCCGUAGGUGAACCUGCGGAAGGAUCAUUAUUCAAUAAACCUGAUGUGGUUGUAGCUGGCCCUUUCUGGAGCAUGUGGACACCCGUCGUCUUUAUCUUUCCACCUGUGCACCUUUUGUAGACCUGGAUGUAACACUUUCCGAGGCAACUCGGUCGGGAGGAAUGCUGUCAGCUUUCCUUGAAUGUCCAGGCCUAUGUUUUCAUAUACCCCAAAGAAUGUAACAGAAUGUAUUAUUGGGCUUUGUGCCUAUAAACUAUAUACAACUUUCAGCAACGGAUCUCUUGGCUCUC
rnacentral:misc_RNA from 1 species